rnacentral:lncRNA from 1 species
CAUUAGACCAUCCCAACACCUAUAAUUAGGGGCUGAGAACGAUCAUCUACAACACCAUGACCCGAGGGCAAGCAAAAAAAUUGGAAGAGUCUGUCAGACAGCCAUUAGACCAUCCCAACACCUAUAAUUAGGGGCUGAGAACGAUCAUCUACAACACCAUGACCCGAGGGCCAUGGGAGCUAUUAAUCACGCUCUAGUCUAGUGGCCAUGUCUCAUCAACCAGACUUGGUUUCCUGUCUCCUUAGAACUCAAGGAUAAGGUGGUACGGGCCUAUAGAACAGAUCCUGUUCAAGUAAGGUCGU